GACGAGCGCUGGCGGCGUGCUUAACACAUGCAAGUCGAACGGAAAGGCCCUGCUUUUGUGGGGUGCUCGAGUGGCGAACGGGUGAGUAACACGUGAGUAACCUGCCCUUGACUUUGGGAUAACUUCAGGAAACUGGGGCUAAUACCGGAUAGGAGCUCCUGCUGCAUGGUGGGGGUUGGAAAAUUUCGGCGGUUGGGGAUGGACUCGCGGCUUAUCAGCUUGUUGGUGGGGUAGUGGCUUACCAAGGCUUUGACGGGUAGCCGGCCUGAGAGGGUGACCGGCCACAUUGGGACUGAGAUACGGCCCAGACUCCUACGGGAGGCAGCAGUGGGGAAUAUUGCACAAUGGGCGGAAGCCUGAUGCAGCAACGCCGCGUGCGGGAUGACGGCCUUCGGGUUGUAAACCGCUUUCGCCUGUGACGAAGCGUGAGUGACGGUAAUGGGUAAAGAAGCACCGGCUAACUACGUG
rnacentral:rRNA from 1 species